GACGAACGCUGGCGGCGUGCUUAACACAUGCAAGUCGAACGGUGAAGGGACCGGUUUUUGCUGGUUCUGGAUGAGUGGCGAACGGGUGAGUAACACGUGAGUAACCUGCCCCCUUCUUCUGGAUAACCGCAUGAAAGUGUGGCUAAUACGGGAUAUUCUGCGCCUGCUGCAUGGUGGGUGUGGGAAAGAUAUUGUUUCGGUGGGGGAUGGGCUCGCGGCCUAUCAGCUUGUUGGUGGGGUGAUGGCCUACCAAGGCGGUGACGGGUAGCCGGCCUGAGAGGGUGGACGGUCACACUGGGACUGAGACACGGCCCAGACUCCUACGGGAGGCAGCAGUGGGGAAUAUUGCACAAUGGGCGCAAGCCUGAUGCAGCGACGCCGCGUGAGGGAUGGAGGCCUUCGGGUUGUAAACCUCUUUCGCCAGUGAAGCAGGCCUGUCCAUUUUGUGGGUGGGUUGACGGUAGCUGGAUAAGAAGCGCCGGCUAACUACGUG
rnacentral:rRNA from 1 species